AUCUUUUUGUAGCUCAUAAGCAUGAUGACUGGGUUUUCACAUGCCUGUGUGAGAUGUGCCUCCCUCAAACCUUGUUAAGACAUCAGCACAUUACUCAUCUGACG
ensembl:snoRNA